rnacentral:rRNA from 1 species
GACGAACGCUGGCGGCGUGCUUAAUACAUGCAAGUCGAACGGAAAGGCCCUGCUUUUGUGGGUUGCUCGAGUGGCGAACGGGUGAGUAACACGUGAGUAACCUGCCCUUGACUUUGGGAUAACUUCAGGAAACUGGGGCUAAUACCGGAUAGGAGCUCCUGCUGCAUGGUGGUGGUUGGAAAGUUUCGGCGGUUGGGGAUGGACUCGCGGCUUAUCAGCUUGUUGGUGGGGUAGUGGCUUACCAAGGCUUUGACGGGUAGCCGGCCUGAGAGGGUGACCGGCGACAUUGGGACUGAGAGACGGCGCAGAAGCCAACGGGAGGCAGCAGGGGGGAACAUGGCACAAUGGGCGGAAGCCUGAUGCAGCAACGCCGCGUGCGGGAUGACGGCCUUCGGGUGGUAAACCGCUUUCGCCUGUGACGAAGAGGGAGUGACGGUAAUGGGUAAAGAAGCACCGGCUAACUACGUG